AGUAGUUGUAGGGCUUCUCUCCUUCUGGCAGGAGAUGGCAAUAGAUUAUCCUUUGUGGCUUAUCUCCGGUGUUGAUUAACUUCCAAUGACCCGCCAAAGGAGAGUUGCCCUGUGACUACUUC